AGCGAACGCUGGCGGCAGGCCUAACACAUGCAAGUCGAACGAAGUCUUCGGACUUAGUGGCGGACGGGUGAGUAACACGUGGGAACGUGCCUUUAGGUUCGGAAUAACUCAGGGAAACUUGUGCUAAUACCGAAUGUGCCCUUCGGGGGAAAGAUUUAUCGCCUUUAGAGCGGCCCGCGUCUGGUUAGCUAGUUGGUGAGGUAAAGGCUCACCAAGGCGACGAUCAGUAGCUGGUCUGAGAGGAUGAUCAGCCACAUUGGGACUGAGACACGGCCCAAACUCCUACGGGAGGCAGCAGUGGGGAAUCUUGCUAAAUGGGCGAAAGCCUGACGCAGCCAUGCCGCGUGAAUGAUGAAGGUCUUAGGAUUGUAAAAUUCUUUCACCGGGGACGAUAAUGACGGUACCCGGAGAAGAAGCCCCGGCUAACUUCGUGCCAGCAGCCGCCGUAACAC
rnacentral:rRNA from 1 species